rnacentral:misc_RNA from 1 species
AAGUCGUAACAAGGUUUCCGUAGGCGAACCUGCGGAAGGAUCAUUAACACGUAUCCAAACUGCUCUUGUAACCCGCGAAGCUUGCAAUCUCUGGUAAAUCAUAGCCCGGAAAGUAGUUUUGAUUCAGAGACCUCUGGCCCGUGAGAUUCUUUGAGACGUUACAAUUUUGAGCGGUAGUUCUAUAGGCCUUGUUUCCCCAAGCAGUCAGUGUCUGAAAGUGUCAUUGAUUGUGCAAGGAUAACGCUUCACGAUUCUUGUAGACCGCAUCUCGCGGGCAGGAGCUAGGCCAAAGGGUCCCCAUGCCCCCUUACAACCCCACAGUUUAAUGUGAAGCUCAAUGUAAUACAUUGGGUAAAAAAACCGAACAACUGUUAACAAUGGAUAUCUUGGUUCUC